AUUCCUGUUCUCGGUUUAAGAAGAACACAUGGUUGCAAAUAGUCUAGACCUUAGGUACUUAUGGAGCUUGCACAAGGAGGAGCAGGUCAUUGUGGGCAUGGGUCGUGAAUGCUUAAUAAAACACAUAUGACAUUUCAUACAUUAUUAUUUAUGUUGGGUUUACUUACAUGCUUCCGCUACUUAAACAAAGUUUGGUUUUGAACAUCAA